rnacentral:rRNA from 1 species
GACGAACGCUGGCGGCGUGCUUAACACAUGCAAGUCGAACGGACAUCAGGGGUUUACUCCUGGUGUUAGUGGCGGACGGGUGAGUAACACGUGAGCAACCUACCUUACACAGGGGGAUAACACUUAGAAAUAGGUGCUAAUACCGCAUAAGACCACAGUAUCGCAUGGUACAGGGGUAAAAGCUGAGGCGGUGUAAGAUGGGCUCGCGUCCCAUUAGCUAGUUGGUGAGGGUAACGGCCCACCAAGGCUGCGAUGGGUAGCCGACCUGAGAGGGUGAUCGGCCACACUGGAACUGAGAUACGGUCCAGACUCCUACGGGAGGCAGCAGUGGGGAAUAUUGGGCAAUGGAGGAAACUCUGACCCAGCAACGCCGCGUGAAGGAUGAAGGUCUUCGGAUUGUAAACUUCUGUUGUUAGGGACGAAGAAUGACGGUACCUAACGAGAAAGCCCCGGCUAACUACGUGCCAGCCGCCGCAGUAAAAC